AAUAGAUACCCAGGUAGUCCAUGCCGUAAACGUUAGGCACUAGGUGUGGGGGACAUUCCACGUUUUCCGCGCCGUAGCUAACGCAUUAAGUGCCCCGCCUGGGGAGUACGGCCGCAAGGCUAAAACUCAAAGGAAUUGACGGGGGCCCGCACAAGCGGCGGAGCAUGCGGAUUAAUUCGAUGCAACGCGAAGAACCUUACCAAGGCUUGACAUGUGCCAGACCGCUCCAGAGAUGGGGUUUUCCCUUCGGGGCUGGUUCACAGGUGGUGCAUGGUUGUCGUCAGCUCGUGUCGUGAGAUGUUGGGUUAAGUCCCGCAACGAGCGCAACCCUCGUUCCAUGUUGCCAGCACGUAGUGGUGGGGACUCAUGGGAGACUGCCGGGGUCAACUCGGAGGAAGGUGGGGAUGACGUCAAAUCAUCAUGCCCCUUAUGUCUUGGGCUUCACGCAUGCUACAAUGGCCGGUACAAUGGGUUGCGAUACUGUGAGGUGGAGCUAAUCCCUAAAAGUCCGGUCUCAGUUCGGAUUGGGGUCUGCAACGUCCG
rnacentral:rRNA from 1 species